GUUCCGCUACAAUGACUUUUAAUAUGGCGAUUUGCGCCUCCGCCAUUGCCAUCGGGGGUCUGUGGGGAAAUAACUCCGCUAUGUAGGAUUCUGGGGCCGCCCGCUCUGGGGCGGAUGUACUUCGACCUGCUUUCUGGCAGUGAUUACGCAAUGUCAUAUAGUGCCAGUCCACGCUCGCAGCUACAGUAUAAGGGAGAAGCAAGCGAAGUCUCAUCAGUAGUCAUCAUGGAGAACGCACCAAAGAAACAGAAGAAGACGAUGUCUGAUGAAGCAAAGAAGAGAAAAAGAGAGGCCGACAGAGCAAGAGAUCGGACUAGGGUCACAAUCGGAACAGCUUUUACUCGUUGGAGAGAGCUGAAAGACACAUUUGGAUACAAGUUCGAUUCACAGCUAGCCAUCUUUCUGCUGGAUUACGGUAGGGAAUGUCUACUCCCAGCAAGGGACAUGCACAGCCACCACCGCCGCCUGUAUCUAGUAUUUCAGAAGAGUCCGACCGAGAUGGGGACAAAGAAUUCGCUAUGCAAGGUGUUCAACCGUUGGGCAAAGAAACCGAAGCGGUUGGUGUGCUAGAAUCUAGCAUGCACUCCUUGAGCAUUGCUGAAGAGGAGCAGCAUGACUCUCUGGAUGAGGAGGAGGCGAAUUAUAUGAGGAAUAGCAUGUAAGUCUUGCACAUGAAACCAUCUUAGUUCGUGUUCUUUUGUGCUUCAAGUUUAUGGUGUUGUGGGUGUGUGUGUGUGUUUUGUAAAUCAUUUUUAUUUACAGUAUUGACAUGGAUGAUUGCUGGGAGGAUCCUAAUCAGAAGGGCUUGGAAGAAGAUUGGG
rnacentral:lncRNA from 1 species